rnacentral:tRNA from 1 species
GUGGAUGUAGCCAAGUGGAUCAAGGCAGUGGAUUGUGAAUCCACCAUGCGCAGCCCGUCGUUCGCCCAACUUCUUCUAUUUACG